AUGUCCAUGCACCUUCUUCCCCUUGAGCUCCUUCCUCAUAUCAUACGCAUCUUCCCCAUCGGCAUAGUACUUCGCCUCCACAUCAUGAAUCUUAUACCCCAAAGUCCCCGUGUACAAAUUGAACGCCGCCCGAUUGCUCUUCCUCACGUGAAGCGACACGUACUCCGCCGCGAACACCUGUUCCAUGGCGUUCUGGGCGGCGCUCAUGAGCUUGGUGGCGAGGCCGAGUUUGCGGUGGGUGCGGAGGACGGCGAGGGAGGUGAUGUGUCCGUGGCACUCGUUGCUCUCCUCCUCCAUCUUGGCGAGGACGUAGCCGACGAUGCGGCCGUUGUAGUCUUCGGCGACGUAUAGGAGCUGCGGCCAUGAGAGGAUGUGGUAGAGGUAGUACUUCAUCUGGUAGUUCUCAGGGAGGCAGAAGAGGUUGCAGGCUUGCAUCGCCAGGAGGUCGUCGAUGGUGGCCUUGCGUAUGCACACCAUGUUUGGAGCUUCUGGAGUUUCGAGGGUUAGGGUUUUCGGGUGGGAAUUUUGGUUUUGGGGAGGAAGAGAGAAACAGAGAGUGUUUGAGGUCAAAAGAAAUGUGGGGGUGUUCUGGAAUUUUCCAUGGCAUUGGGUUUGGGCUGAGUCAUGGGCUUAUGGAAUUUAUACAUGGGCUUAAGUCAAUACUUUUCAAACAAAUAAAAGGUGAGGUGAAAUUAAAAUUAUGGAGGAUUCCAGUAACUUAUUACAAAUUUUCUUUUAAAACAACUAUUUUGUAAAACUGAACAAGAUAAAACAAUAUUUACAUUUAUGAUUUAAAAAUGCGUCACAUAGUUUCAUCCGGUAAUGAUUAUCAGAAUGAUAACAUAGAAAAUUCGUCCGGUACCAAUAUCUAAAAUGUUAAAAAAAUGCUACAAAUUUGUGUUUGGUAGUAAUGACGACAAUGGUGGUAGAGGUGGGCUAGUCAUGGAUUUGAUGAAUUUAAACAUGGGUGAUGCGAGAGACCAAAAUUUUAAACCAUCUUUAGUAAACCACAUAAUAUAGUGAUUGAUAAAUCAUAAAAAAAGAAAUUUAAACUCGAAAGCAACAGAUUAAAAACUCGUGCAAAAGCCGGUGUGCGUUACAUCAAUCGAGCCCUUUUCAUUUUCUAUGCUUUUCUCUCCAAAGUUCACAACAUAUUACACACAGAGUAAUAAGAAAUGCCACUCCUGCAAAAUUCCCCACCGAAACAAUUAAAUCCCAUUUCCAAUUCUUUCCACCCCAUGUCUCUAAACCUCAGGCCAUCUCCAAUCGAAGGGUCUAGAGGGCUAGAGGGCUCUGGAAUCUGGGAGGGCCCCACGGAAUCGGAGAGGGCUGGAGGGCUGGCCAUUUUUUUUUUAAUGUUUUGUUAUUUCUGACCGACAGUAAUACAUUUAUACUAAAUAAUAGCAUCUAUUCCUGUCGGUUAUAACCGACAGGAUUUCUUAAGAAAAAAUUCAAAUGAAACGGCUAGUAGCCGUUGCAUUUGAUUUUUUAUUUUUUUUUACAGUUUUAUUAUUAUUUUUUAUUUAUAAAAAUUUUCAUAUAACUUCUAUUUUUUCCUAUAACUUUUAUUUCACAAAAUUUAUUUCAUAUUUUUUUUUAAAUUCCAUUUUUUUCCUAUAACUUCUAUUUCACAAAAUUUGUUUCAUAUUUUUUUUAAAUUACAUUUUUUCCUAUAACUUCUAUUUCACAAAAUUUGUUUCAUAUUUUUUUUAAAUUUCAUUUUUUUUCCUAUAACUUCUAUUUCACAAAAUUUGUUUCAUAUUUUUUUUAAUUCUAUUUUUUUCCUAUAACUUCCUAAGCCAUUAUACAACAUUAAAUUAAAUUAAGUAACAUGAAACAACAUUAAACAAUAUGAAACAACAUUAACCAACAUAAAAAUUAUACAACAUGAAACUUAAACAACAUUUUUAAAAACAUUUAAAAACAUAAAACGUAAAUGCCUACUCCAUGCUUCUUUGGGCCCAAAGAUGUGCAACAAGAUCUUGUUGUAGGUACUUGUUUGUGGCACGAGAACGUAUCAUUCUAUAGCGCUUCAUGUACUUAUCUAUAGAGAUACUACCAGUUCUUGGAUUGAAAGGCAAAUUAGGCUUAUCAUAUAUUUUUGCACGAGCCCUUCUUGACCUAUUUGGAUCUUCUUGGUCGUCAUCGGACUCUCCAUCAAUAUACCCAUCUUGCUCAUCCUUCACUAUCAUAUUGUGUAAUAUGAUGCAAGACAUCAUGAUGGAGUCCAAAUUUUCUCGACUCCACCCUCUUGCCGGUUCGCUAAUGAUCUUCCACCGUGCUUGUAUAAUACCAAAAGCUCUCUCAACAUCUUUCUGAUAUGCCUCUUGGUGUAAGGUAAACAACUGUUCCGCGUCAUUCCUAGGGUUUGGAAUUGCUUGGACAAGUGUCGCCCACUUUGGGUAGAUGUCAUUUGCCAAGUAAUACCCCAUAUUGUAUUGACGGCCGUUGAUGUAGUAGUUAAGUUAAGGUGCUUUACCUUCCGUCAAGUUAUUGAAGAAGGGUGAACGCCCAAGAACUGUAAUGUCAUUUUGGGAUCCAAGGACUCCAAAGAAAACAUGUCAGAUCCAUGUGUCAUAUGAGGCAACCGCCUCUAACACAACAGUUGGCUUUCUCGACCUUCCGCUAAAGCCUCAUUGCCAUCCGGUAGGACAGUUCUUCCAAUCCCAAUGCAUGCAGUCUAAUGACCCUAUCAUGCCUGGAAACCCAAGGUCUUCAGCUUUGCGAAGGAGCCGAUUCAUAUCUUUUUGAUUUGGCUCGCGGAGGUACUCGUCUUUGUAAAGCUGAACAAUUGUGUCACAAAAUUCUUGAAGAGUAUCAAGGCAUGUAGACUCAGACACACCAUGGGUUUCAUCCAUCGAAUCAGCUGCGGAGCCAUAUGCUAUCAUUUGGAGUGCAACAGUAACCUUUUGAUGAGGUGAGAAACUAGGGCGACCUGCUCUGUCCCGCUUCUGUUGAAAGUACGGAUUGACCUGCUGGACAUCACAAAGUAAACGCUUAAAGACAUGACGCCUCAUCCGGAAGCUACAUCUGAAAUCCUCUUCUGUGUACACCGAGUUGGGGUCGAAGUAGUUGUUCAUCAGAUUGGCAUGCGUCAUCGCUCUGUUUCGUGGUUUGUAAGAGCAACCAGCAAUAGAGCCACCCCAUUGAGGUUAUUCCUCAGUUGGCUGACACACCAUGGCCGUAGCCAUGGCUGCUGCUAUGUUUUGUUUGUUGCGCCUUACUUGAACUUCUUCAUCAGACUCCUCAUAUUCUUGUCUCAUUUGCACCUAUUUUGCUUCUCUUUUGGAAUUGGAUGAAGACCCCCAGUUGGAAUCUGAAGAGGAUCCAAAGUUGGAAUUCAUUGCAAACUUGAAUUGAAAGAGAUUGAAUUUAAAUAGAUUGAAUUCAAAGUUGUGUGAAUUAUAUCCCAAUAUCCACCCUAUUUAUAGCAAAAAAAAAUUCAAAUCCAAUGGCUAGCUGAUGUGACUUAGCCGUUGGAUUUGAAUUUAAGUUGUAGUUUUUAAAUAAUAAAUUAUGUUUGGCUCUAUGGCCCUUUGGCCCUCGGUUGGAGACAGAGGUAAAUAUGACCCUGUACUGUUCAUUCAAAUAUUAAUAUCUUGGAGAAUCUUGGAGCGCUAGAGGGCUAAAACGAGUCAUCUGGCCAGCCAUCAGUUGGAGAUGGCCUCAAUCUCUCUCCUAAAACCACCUUCAAAAAUCUACUUCCACCAAUUAACAUGCAAAUCCCAACCUACCCACCACCCCAUGCUUCUUUUCUCUGCAAAAACCCCACCAACACCCAUCAAUUUCCACUUUUACCCACCCCUUUCCCACAAACUCCUACAUCCCUCAACCCAAUGCCACUUCCACUCCCCGACCCCAUGACCUCUUCACCAUUAACGCCUUCACACCCUCAUCCCUCCAAAACUCUAGAAACCCCCCCAUCCCCACCGCCUACUAUGUCACGUCACUCUGUGGCGACUCCAAUUCCAAUUCCACGGUCCCUCGGCGUCCGCCAUCGCCUUAUAGCUUCCACCUCCCCCUGUCGACUUCUUGUAGAGGUUCGAGAAGGACAAGAAGAUCGUGCUCCCCAACCCCCACUUCCAGAAACUUUGCGUUCAACAGUUAUACCUCUUUUGCCAAAUCGUCGACCCUGAUGCUCUCUCUCGGUUAGUGGCCAAAUUACUUUUAUGCCCGUUCAAUUUUCUGGCGUUGACAUAGAUGGAUGAAAUAUUUGACAAAAAAUUAGAAAAUAUAAUAGUAUGGAGGAUUUCAGCAAAUUAUAAUAGUUUAGGGAAGUAAUUGGUUAAAAUUAAAGUUUAGGAGGAAAAUUGACAAUGCCUUACAAUUUUGAGAGGAAAAUCGACAAAUACCUCUUUUUCUUUAAACAAGGGCUUAAAGUGUUUGACAAAUCAUUAAAAAAGAAAGUUGAUAUGCUUAACAUUUUUUUUUAACAUGAGCUUAAAGUCCUUUACUUUUCAAAUAAAUUAAAAACAAAAAAAGAUUAUUCCUCAAUUUUUAACCUGAUCUUGUACUACACUACUAGUUUUACCUUUGAAUUUUAUUUUCCUCGUAAUUGAUCUAACUUUUCAUUAAAACUGUCUCAUUUAAAGAAGGAAAAUAACAAGUUUCCAACAAAUUAAAAAAAAAAAAAAAAAAAAAAAAAAAACAGGAAAAUAACAAGAAGUAAUGUUGUAACCGGCAUGUGACUGUUUUGAGCAGAAAAUUGGAUGAAAUGCGCGAAAGAGGAAAAGAUGAUUAUUUGUGAGAAAUUGGCUAAGGUUCUGGUGGAAUUCACAGUGGUUCGCAAGAUCAAUAGGGAUGGCGAAAUACUUAAAAAAUAGAAACAUGAAUACCGACUCUCCAAGGUAAAAUUCUUCAAUCUGGCAUUCAUUUUCAAUACAUCAUCAUCUGCAAUUUCCAGUUUCGAUCGUUUCUUGUCAAUCGGUUCAGUUUUGGAAACGUCGGUAAACUCGACCCGUCUUACUCGAGGACUAGAUGGAAAACAAGUUUGUAUUUCAUGAUCAAGAAUUUGUAGUAGUUUAUAGAACAAGAACAAUAAAAUAAACUCUGUACAUGUACAUUAGCAUGAAUAUCAUACACAUCCUCACAAAAAACAAAAGGGUGGCCGGUCUUAGUCGAAUUUCCAGAUUCUGAUGUACUUACCUUAGUGCGCGGUGAUAACCUUCCUCAUCCGAACAGUCAAACACGUAAUGGGAGGUCGUCUGGUACUAAAGAGUGCUCUCAAUGGGGGUAUCUUCCGAAAGCCUUGUUCCUCUCAUUCUUUGGGUAGCCCCAAUCGUGUUUAGAGGACUUGAAGAUAAAUAUCCAUCCAUGACGCAUCUUCAAAUUACAUCACCUGUGUUCUGGUUCAGAAAACGCAGCAUACCGUCUAGUCCACCAAAUGAGUAUACCCUAUUUGGACUCACUCGUGUCUCCCAUAAACAUCUCAUUGUCCUGAAUCAUACAAUAUAACAGAAGAACAGGGUCAAUUAACAUACAACUCUAUCAAGUCAUCUGUUACUGUCAAAACAGUAAAAUAAAAGGGUGAAGACAGACCAGACAAGGACAUAAAGGUUAAGUAAUGUAAACCUUGUAUUCGAAAUUGUAACGAAGUGCAACAUGGAAACGGAUACAACAUAGACUUUCAUCAAGCUAAGUACGAAUUAGUUUAACCAGGCAAAUUAAAAUUCUUAAAAUAGCAUUUGAAGUCAUAUUUCAUACUUGAUGUCCAAACGUAAUGCAUAUCCAGCAGCCGAUCUAGCAAAUACUAAGUGAGAACAUGGGUUGAGACUUUGUUUAGAAUAUUGAUAUACCGUAAGUGCCAACACUUCCAAACAACUGCAAUCAAAAUCCCUAUCUUCCACACCAAUUUUGUUAAUUUCAGUCCUUUAAUCCUCUAUAAUUCAUUCGAUCCGACAGUCCAAAAUCGAAAAAUGUGUAAAAAAAUAAAAUAAUUUGUGUGAAUGGCACCACACACUAAACAAAUGUCAAAUGGGGAAAGGAAGGAAGAGGAAUACAUACAACAUGAUAGCUACAAACGUUGGCAUUAGGCACACUUCUUAAUCAUAUAUUACCACUCAGAGUAUCAGACUAUUCCCAGCAUGGCAACAACUUACUGUAUCUUAAUAAUAAUAUAUUAAUUUAACAUUAAGUUGUGUGAUACUCACCCCUUAUUAAUUGCGGUUAGAUUAGUCUAAAUUUUGAGAUCCGUGUCUUAGAUCAAAUAAACUAAACUAAUCUAACGGUAACUAAUGGGAGGUGAGCACAAAAUGCACUUGCCAAAAAAAAGAAAAAAGAAGAUUAUUGGCAAACAAAAAUCGAAUUUAAAUUUAGAGUAUCUAUACUAGUUUACCUUGCUUGUUGAUAUGUCUCCAUCCUUUGUAGAAAACUUGGGUGAGACCUAGCUUGCCAUUGUAUCAUGUUUAAAUUUACCUAACUUCUAAUAUUAACCAUUGACGAUGACCUAUGGUCAUGAUUUAAUCUUGUUUUGCCCUAAGGAAUUAACAUUAACGUCUUUACUUUUACACUAAGCCUGCUCAAAUGUGUGGAAAAGCUAAAUACUUUACUCUUCUCCAAAGGAGGAAGAGUUACAAGAUGUGUUACACAAGCUAAGCAAAUAAUUACAGGAAACCUAAUUAUAGGGGGUAAAAAGUAAUCUAAGCCGAGCAAGGCUCACAUUAACACUCAUCCUCAAGUCGGUGCAUAGAUAUCACCAAUGCCAACUUUGUUGAGUGAGCUAUGAUAAACUAUACUAGACAUAUCCUUAUUAAGAACAUCUAUAAGUUGAUCCUCUGACUUUACAAACAAAAACAAAUUAAUUAAGCAUCUAGUUUCUCCUCGAUGAAAUGUUAAUCCACUUCAAUAUGUUUAGAUUGAUGUAUAAAGAGAGGACCAUGAUCGGCCUGCUCGAUACCAGGCUUAAACAUGUUGGAAACGAAUGCUUCACUCUUCCUGUUUAAGAUCAGUAGCUGCAGCCAUUGGUUGAUGUUGGAGUGAGGGAGGAAAAAGAGGACCCGAGCACGUGGGAAAUCUGGGACAAAGAUCAGCGAGAAAAAGACGAAGCUAAGAGCCUAAGACCAAAUACCACAAGAGAGGGAGGGGGAAGGGGGGAGAGAAGUGAGAGGGCGAGAAGACGAGAUAGGGUAGAGAAUAAGGGUGGGUUGCCACUGCCCCCUAAGCCAAAGGCAGGGGCGGCCAGUAGGGGGUAGCUUCCUGUAUUUAUCGAACUCUUUUCCAGCUGCAUUACAUAUCAGAGCUCUGUUCCGGUGCAUAGAUAAAAGAUUACGUGCUUUUAGUGAGUUUCUAUCAACACUAUUAUUCUAUGUGUGGCCAUUUCUUCAUCCUAAACUUUACUCUUCACCGUGAGCAAAGAAAUCCACCAUCAGGCCAGAUUACUUAGGUGAUUAACUACUUAACAUAAAUACAAAGCUCUGACUUAAAACCAUUGCUCAGGAGCAACUCAUGUUCAAAGAACAAGUGCCUAAAAUGGAAAAAAAAUCCAUCCCUUCCCCUUUCUGAAAAGCCAGACAAAGAAGGAUAGCUAAGCAUCAAACAAUUUAACUUCAGACACAAUCUCACAAUUCAAAAAUUACUGUUUUUCAAUUUCAUUAUUAUAGCUAGUAUCCCGUAUGGCAAAGAUGUGUUUCUCUCAAGAAAAGUAGUUACUUGACCAAUACUACUUAAAUACAUACAUACAUAUAUAUGUGCAUAAGCACACUACAGAAAAGAGUAGUUCGUAAUCCACCAUCAAAGUCACCUUUGGGCACAACAGCACCCGUUCCCCCUUAAGGGCAAGGCUAAAGGGCGAGAUGCGGGUUUAGUGCAUUGUGGGAGUGUGGGUUUGUUCACUUGCCCAGCAAAAAAAUAGUAAUCUAAGCUAGUUUUCCUAUCUAUUCCAGUAUUAUUCGCAACUUCGGCCUCUAAUAGAAUUCAGUACUAGAUGUUAAGAGCAUGUGGUACGCAUCAUCAAAUGGAACAAACUCAAAGAAAAAACAUAAAUCGUUUAUCCAUGCAUAACGACUAUUAUGAUUCAACCCUCCAUCAAAUUACAAGAAAAACUAUUUGCAUACGACUCAAAAAUAAACAAAACCGCCUGAUAGUAGACACAACGAACACAAAAUAAACAUGAAGUUACAACAUAAAUCACUUAAUGCAGAGUAAGUAUUAAACAUCAACAACUUAUUCCGAAUCCUCACAUGCAUUUCUCAAAUUGCAAUACAAAAGCUAAGCAUCAAAACCAUAUAUAAAGUAAAACAACGGAAAAUACACUUCCCCCCCCCCCCCCCCAAAUAACCCAAUUUACCUCCCACUCUCAUACCGCUUUGGCCUCCGCCUUAGCAUUCCCUCUCUCGACCUUCCUCGCCUCCGCCUUCUCUGGUUUCGCCGCCUCCCCUGAGCAACACCCACCUUCAUGAUGGUGAUGAUGGUGGUGAUGCCCAUGCCCAUGCCCGUGCCCAUGACUAUGUCCAUGCACCUUCUUCCCCUUGAGCUCCUUCCUCAUAUCAUACGCAUCUUCCCCAUCGGCAUAGUACUUCGCCUCCACAUCAUGAAUCUUAUACCCCAAAGUCCCCGUGUACAAAUUGCAUGCCGCCCGAUUGCUCUUCCUCACGUGAAGCGACACGUAUUCCGCCGCGAAAACCUGUUCCAUGGCGUUCUGGGCCGCGCUCAUGAGCUUGGUGGCGAGGCCGAGUUUGCGGUGGGUGCGGAGGACGGCGAGGGAGGUGAUGUGGCCGUGGCGCUCGUCGCUCUCCUCCUCCAUCUUGGUGAGGACGUAGCCGACGAUGCGGCCGUUGUAGUCUUCGGCGACGUAGAGGAGCUGCGGCCAUGAGAGGAUGUGGAGGAGGUAGUACUUCAUCUGGUAGCUCUCAGGGAGGCAGAAGAGGUUGCAAGCUUGCAUCGCCAGGAGGUCAUUGAUGGUUGCCUUGCGUAUGCACACCAUUUUUGGAGCUUCUGGAGUUUCUAAGGUCGUGGUUUUGGUGUGGGAAUUUUGAUUUUGGGGAAGAAGAGAAACAGAGAGCGAUGAGAUCAAAAGAGACGUGGGGUUGCUCUGGGACUUUUCCUGGGAUCGGGUUGGACCGAGUCAUCCAUACUUUACAAACAAAUUUAAAAAAAAAUAAAAAAAUUGCAGUCCUACUAGGAUUUUGGAGAAUCUUAAGGGCUCGUCGAGUAACGUUAUUUUUUUUAAUAAACGAAAUUAUCUAUAAUAAGAAAGAGGAAUGAGCUUAAUCUCGCAAUUGCUAGUAAUAAUGUGGUUUAAAUUCGUAUUUGGCGAGAAUCGAAUCUAAGACCUUCCACUUUCAAGUAAAAAAGAAUAUCACUAGACCGUAUUAUUAAGUAACAAACCGUCCAUCAAUGUUUUACACAAUGAUUUUUAAAUAACUAUUUUGUAAAACAAAAGCGACAAACAAAGAUUUUCAUUUUUUAUGGUUUGAUAACGCGUUUGGUAGCUUAAUCCGAGAAUAAUUUUUUAGAUUGAGAACCUAAAAAAUAAGUCUAGUACCAGUAUUCAAAAUGUUAAAAAAAAAAAAAAAAAAAAACUAUAAAUUCGUAUUUGAUAAUAAUGAUGGCAAUAGUGGUAGAAAUUGGCUGAGUCAUGAUUUCAACAAGGGCUUAAAGUCUACACUUACAAAAAAAAAAGAGAAAGUGUUUCGUUGAUUUUUUCUCCUUAAAUUGAACUCCACUACUACUUUAACCUUUGAAUUUUUAUUUUCCCCGUAAUUGAUCUAACUUUGCAUUAAAACUAUCACAUUAAAGAAAGAGAAAAUAACAACAAAUAAUAUUGUAAUCGGCAUGUGAUUUUUUUGGACAGAAAAUUGGAACAAAUGCGAUCGCUUAUAAUAGUUCAUGUAAGAAAUUGGCUAAAGUUCUAGUGAAUUUCGCAGUGGUUUAAAAGCUCAAUAGGGGAUAGUAGAUUUCUCUCU
rnacentral:lncRNA from 1 species